rnacentral:rRNA from 1 species
UAUUGGUCAAUGGGCGAUAGCCUGAACCAGCCAAGUCGCGUGAGGGAUGACUGCCCUAUGGGUUGUAAACCUCUUUUGCGAGGGAAGAAUAAGGUUCACGUGUGAACUGAUGACUGUACCUUGCGAAUAAGCAUCGGCUAACUCCGUGCCAGCAGACGCGGUAAUACGGAGGAUGCGAGCGUUAUCCGGAUUUAUUGGGUUUAAAGGGCGCGUAGGCGGUGUAUUAAGUUAGUGGUUAAACGUCGGGGCUUCACCUUGAUUUGCCAUUAAAACUGGUACACUCGAGUACAGACGAGGUAGGCGGAAUAAGUUAAGUAGCGGUGAAAUGCAUAGAUAUAACUUAGAACUCCGAUAGCGAAGGCAGCUUACCUGGCUGUGACUGACGCUGAAGCACGAGAGCGUGGGUAGCGAACAGG